CAAGGUAUAUCUGUUUCUGCAUUCGCAAUCCUCAGAGUCACCUUCACUUAUACUUAUUUUCAUUUGUCCCCUUUCUUUCGGAAUAGUGAUGUAAUUAUUUUGUAUGACUACUCCUAGGAAGGCUUAUGACUUGUACUACCGGUUUUGGAAUGGUAAAGUGCUUAGAGAAAUUUUAUUUUAAGUUAAUAAAUAGCAAUAUUAUUUCAGUUAAUGUUAGGCUACCUAAUCUAGAGACUAGGUGCCAUCACUACUACUUCAGAGGGAUUUUUGGGUUGUG
rnacentral:lncRNA from 1 species